AGGUGGAGGCGGAGCCCCGAUUUCAAACGGCAGCCAAAGGCCCGCGGCGCGGCUGGGCUCGGCUCCCGGCCACGGGCUCUGGCGGGAACAGGUUCGGACUUGGCCCCGCACAGGGAAGUCGCGAGUGGUGGGGGUGGUGGCGGCCGCCUCCCCCGCUGGGCCCGGCCGCCGCUUCCCUCAGGGCCGGGGAGCCCCCGGCGCCAACCGCCGCCGGCCCGCCCUCGCUUCCCCCUGCCGCCCCCGGCGCUGCCGCCCCGCGGGGGGUGCCAGCCCUCAUGACUCCAUUCGCAAAGCUUGUGGCAUUUCCUGUUUGGGCCUGGCCGCCCAGCCCCGGGGUUCGGCAGGACGGGGACGCCGCUUCCUUGGGGCGAGGGGAUGGGGAGAAGUUUCACACCCUUCGGGAAGCCGCAGUCCCAAAAGCUCCAACCUCCCUGCCGAGCGACAAAAUAAACCCCAAAAACCUAAAGCUUUGAACGCUGCUAUGACUUCCAGCUCGAUGCUGCUGCACAUCUGCAAUUUCUUCACUGUGCUUAUGGCAUCAUGGUGCAAAAGUACGAGUCAAAACUUUGUAAGAACGAUACCACAAAGAGAGAUGUUCUUGUGCUCUCUUCAGUUUGACGUUGGCUUCUAGUUUUGCUGCAAAGAAUUCAAAUAGAGAUACAAUGAGAUGGUCUUGGCAGUUUCGUUUAUAUAUUUUUUUCCACCCCUCAUUAAAUUCUCCAGUGAAACGAAAGGAUGUCUGAUGGCAUAGAAACUACAUCAUCUACAUUUCCGUUUAAGCCACUGAAAGAAAACUUGUGAAAGGUUCUCAGCACUUUGUCUUCUUUGAAAAUUUGAGAAACUAUUUGUCUCAUCGAGGUAUGAUGAGAUUUGAUUAUUCUCAGGAGAAAACAACUCACAUCUCAUGUGGGAAACAAAACUUGAAAAGUCAAAAUGGAAAAAUCUGGACAGACUUAUGCAAAACAAUACAGCUCAAAGUAUUUACUAGAAAGCAAGCAAUCUCAGAUAGGACUAAAAUAGAGUUAUAAAUAAUUUAAUUGAAUUGUAACCAUGCUGAUGUUUUUCAACCUCCUACUGGUUUCAGUAAAUGAAAUUUUAACACCAGGGUUAAAAUGAGGAGGUGAAAACCCAGUAAUUUCCUUAACAGAUAAUUUAUAUAUUGAGAAAACUACCUCAGCCCAUGGAACUUUCUCAGCUAAAAUAAUCUCCAAGCAAAAGCAGAACUGAUGCCUAAAUUAAAGUUGACAUUCUAGAGACAAAGCAUGGAGCAGAACUGCAAAGCAACCUGACAGGGGAAACCAAAAUGAAGAUAAUAGCUGCAUACAAAAACAAAUAAAACAAACAAACAAAAAACCCCAACAAAAACAAAGGGGGCUGGAAAUUACUGGCCAGAAAUGGCAGGGGACUUUUAAAUCAAGAGGUGAUUCAGAAUAUGUAUUCAAAGCUUCAGAGAGUCGAGAGGCAUUGCACCUAGUGAGACACUGCAGAGCAACCUGCUUGCUGGUGAAAUGACUGACGCAGGUGGCGGGAGAAAAUGAUGCCAACCAGCUCAGCAGAUCUUUCCGAGGAAGACGGGUCACCACUGGCACCCAGCAAAGUCUUCAGAGCAAGUGGUAGUCCUGAGGGGAUUUAAAAGCACUGGCAGCCUUUAUAAAAGUGUGAUUGCUGAAGACAGGUGAACGGGAUGCCCUUUUUGUGGGAAAACGGGAGGUCUGGGGCUGGUUUAACAGGAGAAGGUGUUGCCUUGACCUCCCUGAGCAGGUCCAAGGUGCAGAUCCAUCCUUAGCACACAGUGGGGUUUACUUGAGCUGGGGCCCCUGCCCCAGAGCGGGAGGGCUGAGCCCCUUCCCUUUGCUGGGCAGUGGUUAGCUUGUGCUCGGCGUGGACGAAGGCCGGGCCCGGCUUCAAUCUGCGAGAGCUGCGUGUGCGGAUGGGCUCCAGCCCUGCAAGCCCUCCAGCCCUCGAGCAGCAGCGGCUGCGGGAGCUGUGCUGGCAGCCAGCUCCGGCUCUCCCCAUCCCACAGCCCGCCUGCUGGCUGGGGAGCCCUGGCCUGCCUCUUCCUCUGGCGGGGGCUGGUACUGGGUGGUGUGACCUGCGUGCCAUGCUGGCUGGAAAGCAGCCACUGCUCCCUCCCUCCCUCCCAGCCCCCUUCCUCCCCUUCUGGAGCAAGCCUGUGCUGGGCUGUGCUUGAUGCCUUGGCUCCUUUCUCAGAGCGGUUCAGCCCCUGCUGAGCUGGCCAGACUUUCACACAUCAGUGGUGACGGGAAGGCUGGUUUGGAGUUGGACAGUGUUUAUAAAACUGCAGAAAUUAAUAGGAACUCAAUGGCUGGGAGGAGGGCUGAAAAUGCGCUUUUAAAAAAAAAAAAAAAUUCCAGUUUAUUUGUGCAAUUUCGAACUGCACAAAGGAUCUCAGUCUACGCCAUUUCCACAUUAGAAAUUAUUAUAAUAACAGUGGGUUUUAAUAGUUUAAAGGGCUAAUGUAGAUAAUCUUUCUGUAAGUGAAUAAGAAACAGAAAUAUGUACAGAGUGAAGUUCCACACUUUCCACUGGAUCCCUGUGCUGAUACUAUUUCUAGCUUGUGGAAAGGUCUCUGAGGGAGCGUUUCUUGGGCUGUGACAGGGACUGUCUCUUACUCAGUGUUUGUGUGAGGCUUAGCAGUGUUUCACAACUGGUGCUUCGUAAGCCCUCAGAUAAAGAGGGUAGGACAAUUAGUCAGGAGGUUGCUUAAGCUUUGAAACAAACAGUUUCAUCGAGAUAGGACGAAGUCUUGUCUAAAUAGCAAUCCCAAGCUGACAAUGAAGUGUUUUCCACUCCGUACUCCUGCAUGGCUGCCGUGUUUUCUGCCUGUGGCCCAGGGGCCCUGGGGUUUAUGUAGCUGGGGGAAUAGUUCAGAGUACGGCGCUGCAGUCAGAGGCAGGAAAACGUGUGCUUGCACUGCCGGUGCUUGGAGCCAACCAGACGUGACUCAGCCCUGAACUGGAAGCCGUGAGCUGUCGUCAGUGCGGUGCUGUGCUCUGGCUAGCGAGGCUGAUUGAGAGACAAGGUGUGUUAGCUCAAGCUCUGGGCUGGACUGGCACGGCUGCAUGAGGUUUGGAAGAGUUUUGGCUGUGAUCCUGCCGGUUCAGAACGGGGACAGAGCAAGCUUGCCUCUGCCUGCUAAAGACAACGCGGACUUGCUCUGAGUCUGUAUUGUUUCUCUCAUAACUACUGUUUGAUUAAAGCGCUUAAGAUAUGUUUGUCUUUUUAAUUUGGCUCCCAAGUAGGGCAGGAGGCCCGCUUGGAAUAUACCAUUUCCUUUAAGCCCAACCUGGCAAAUUCUGAUUACCUCCGAGAUAGGCAGCAUUAUGAAACAAUACUGAGUGCUUCUGCAGACAAGCACAUUCCUGCAGCAGAGCUAGCCUAAAAAAUCCAGGAGCGGGUGGAAGAAAGGCUGAGGAGGGUAGUUAAAUGUGGCUGUUCCCUAAGAAGUAAGCCUGUUGUAGCAGCUCAGCUGGGCCCUGUAAGCCAGGUAUAGGAUACAGCUUCAUUGUGUGCGGUCUGCAGUCACAGCACACUGAAUUUAAGGGAGUCUGUUUUCAUAUCAUUACAAUGUGUUAAUGUGUGGACCACCAAAGGUGGCUGAAAGUUCUGCUCAGCCGUCAGCAAGGGUAAGCUGCUCCUUCACUGCUCUGAGCCUGGAAGGGCUGUUGCUCUACCUGUAGAAAAGGGUUGGAUGAAGAACAGCAGGCAUCUGGUGCCUGUAAAACAAAGUGUUCAUAGUAAGUGAAUAAGGAUUUGUGGGCUAACUGUAGCUUGAUGUUGGAUGAUAAUGAUGCUGGCAUCAAAUGUUAGUGGCUUACAAAAUGAGAAUAGCAUAGUCAGAGCACUCAUCACACCACCUAAUCUCUGCACCAGCUAAUACAUGUCUGAGUAUGGCAACAGUUGGCUGGCUGUACUGGCUCAGCUGGGUGUUUGUGCUGGCGAAAACUGAAGAGCGGUAGCAGGCAGGUGAGGGGAGGGAGGGUGCAACAGUGGCGAAGCAAAUCCGAUCUUGGGCAGAAAUCUGUCUGCCUCAGGCCACCAGCCUCAGGCCUUCGGUUUUAUGGCUGUGGGUAUCUGAUCGAUCUACUAAGAAGACAGGGGGAUCAGGGGUGACAAGGGCUAAGAAAUGAGUGCUUAAAAAGCUUGUACAGACUGAGAAACUCUGAGCUAAAACCAGCACCACUGUGUUUAUCCAUGUCAGCUAGCAACUUCAUGGAACCGAUAAUAAAUUGCUAAGAAGAGGUAUUAAUAUGUUUUGACUGCAGGAUGUACAGUGGAAACAGGACACACAAAAGCUGUUAGGCUUCUACUCGUCUGCAAACUCUUGUAGCCUGCCUGGCUAAAGUGGUUGUGUUGGAGUUAAGGACCUUUCACAGGCAGCUGUAGAAGUAACUGGCCAUCAGUUUCCUCUUGUGGUGGAAAGGACCUGGAAGACAAGAGUGCCCUCAUAUUACAAUAUUUGUUUAUGCUCCCCCACCACCAGGAUGUGACAAAAUAGAAAUAAAAGAAAUGUUUUCAGCAAGAUUUACAGUUGCCAGCCAAUUCAGAGAAAGUGUUCUCCAUGGCAGGUGAUAUGCAAAACUACAAAAGCCAAAGGGGUUGCAAAGCAUGCUUGAAAAAUUCCACCCAUGAAACCACAAAUAGUGUGUAUGCACACUGGCAGGCAGGGGCCAACAGCCAGUAUGUGUUGGUUGUGGACAUCUGCAGUAGGAACAAAGCCCAGAUGAUACGAAGUUAAGACUUUCAAAGCGAUACCUAGCGAGAUACUAAAACAGAAACCUAGUGGCAAAGCACCAUGCACUGUACCAAACAGCAGAACUCUCCAGAUCAUGCAGUAGCAGACAGCAAAGAUGGACUGUGAAGUGCUGAAUGUUGUUUGGGGUUUUAUUUGAAGGCUCCUAAGCCCUCUUCUGGAUCAUCGUGGUAGUUCUGUUUUAUAUUUGUGAGAGACAAGAUUGUUUUGUUGUUGCAAAAGUGUUGCAUUAUAAAGGUUUUCUAAAAACUAAA